AGCCCAGGACUCUUUUUUCCCUGUUAACGGUGAGCUCUGCUUUGCAUGACCAUACUUAUCUGGAUUUACCUUCUGCUUUGCCUGAUUUUGCUUUGCUGGAGCUUGACCUGACUUUGCUUUUUGGUACUGGUGCUUGUGGUACGUAAUGUCUUUGGACUCUGUGCCUAGCACAGGCCCCCAGUUGAGCUAGAACGCUGUCUCCUGGCCUGGUCUGUUGUUUGGGACAGAACAUCAUCCUCUGACUCUGAGGCUGAAUCUCUGCCGUUACUUCUGUUUCCCCGCUCUUGAAGAUGCCGAAGGCUACUAAAUAAGAUCAGGGACCUUUAAUCAGCCAGACAACUCCUCAAGUGAGAUGAAAAUUACCAUGCUUCAGAUCUGGUCAGCCCUACAUAAUGCUGUUGCCCGGGUGCUGGUCUUGGAUGCUAAUCUCAGCUCAAACAGACCUGCCGAGAUUCCUAUUUCUAUGUGAGGCAGCAUCAAACUCAGUGACAUCUGUAGUCCAGAUGUUUCAUCUUUGAAGCAAGUGCACCAUUUUGCAUGUUGUGCAAGAAGAAACCCUUUCAUCUCUCAAGCUCAGUUCAGAAAUCACUAUAGUUUGGCCUGAGCCCAAAUAGUCAGCGUGCUUUGUCGUGCUCUGUAUGGGGUGGAGCCACAGAACUUCUCCUGGACCUUUGACAUCUUCCCACUUAGUCUUGCUCAGCCAACAGGAAGCAUGUGCAGGAAGGGGAAACUUCAAGUUUAGAUGAAGGCUCGCCAGCAGGCAGAUGCUGCUGAAGUCCUGACGCACCUACAGAGAGAAUUCUGUGGUGCUGCGUUUCCUGUUUCAUUUAAAAUAAUCACAAAUACCUCUGCUAUCCUGAUGUGUUCUCUGGAGAAUUUCAUGAUAGCUAUGCUAGGAAGCAUCACCUUCAAAGAUAUAUUUCCUAGGCAGCUUAGAGGGCACAGGACAAUCUUUUGUUAAAAAGACAUGGCUGGAAUUCUAGCUUGUCACUCCUGAGUUUGCAUAUGAACGCAGAUGUCUGAUUCAGUAAAGACAAGGUGGAAGAAGCAUUGCGCCACUCAUUCUUGCAGGAAACGAGAGGAGAGCCUCUUG